GAAAUGAAAGGCAUAAUGAAUCCCAUUGUAUAUGCUUAUAAUACAUGAAAACAGCAAUUGAAUGGAUAUUUAUUUUGGAGGAUUUACAAUCUAACAUCAUUAUGAACAACCACAGAAUGCGUGGCACACAGGCAAUAUCAAAGUCUGUGGACUCCAUCGACGUUUGAGUGACUCCAUCUCAACCUCAGAGAUUCUAUGGAUCAGGAAUUCGGAAAAAAAGAGAAUGGUGACAGCUCGCUCCCUUUUCCGUGAUGUCAACUGAAAGGAAUCAAAGGCUGAGGUAUCUCAUUCGCUGGGGACAGGAAUCAUCUGGAGGCAUCUUCAUUCACAAACCUAGCAGUUGAACGUGACUGUUGUUAGGAAUCUCAGCUGGGGCUGUUACUUGGAAACCUACAUACGGCCUCUCUAUGUCAUCAGGGCUGAUUCAUGGCAUAGUGGCCUUGGACAUCUUAUACGGUACUCAGGCCUCCAAAGGCAAGUGUCUCAAGAGAACCAGAUGGAAACUGUAUUACCCCUGAUAAUCUAUCUUUAGAAGUCUCAUAAUAUCACUUCUACGACCGUCACAAGCCCAUCUAGUUUAAGGGGGAGGGACAUGGAUUCUGGCUCUUUUGAUAAGAGGAGUGUCUAAGUCAUAUUUUAAGAGUAUGUGGGAUGAAAGAUACUGCUGAAUUCAUUUUUUGAAAAUACAAUGAGCCAGGGGAUUUUUCUUUAACUUUUCUUUUUUUCUGUUGCCUUAAUGAUUGGGCCUCUUCUUUCAUUUCAUAUCCUGAGUGUUUAUUAUUUAAUGAAUGUUACUGAUCUCUGUAUGUGACUUCUAUACCCUACAACCUUAUU